UACAGAGGGUGCAAGCGUUAAUCGGAUUUACUGGGCGUAAAGGGCGCGUAGGCGGUUAUUUAAGUUAGAUGUGAAAUCCCUGGGCUUAACCUAGGAACUGCAUUUAAUACUGGAUAACUGGAGUACUGUAGAGGGUAGUGGAAUUUCCGGUGCAGCGGUGAAAUGCGUAGAGAUCGGAAGGAACACCAGUGGCGAAGGCGGCUACCUGGACAGAUACUGACGCUGGGGCGCGAGAGCGUGGGGAGCAAACAGG
rnacentral:rRNA from 1 species